rnacentral:rRNA from 1 species
ACGGAGGCAGCAGUGGGGAAUAUUGGGCAAUGGGCGUAAGCCUGACCCAGCCAUGCCGCGUGAGUGAUGAAGGCCUUCGGGUCGUAAAGCUCUGUGGGGAGGGAAGAAACCGGACGUGGAUAAUACCCACGGCUCUUGACGGUACCUCCUUAGCAAGCACCGGCUAACUCCGUGCCAGCAGCCGCGGUAAUACGGAGGGUGCAAACGUUGCUCGGAAUCAUUGGGCGUAAAGCGCACGUAGGCGGCCUGUUAAGUCGGGUGUGAAAGCCCUGGGCUCAACCCAGGAAGUGCACUCGAAACUGGCGGGCUCGAAUAUGGAAGAGGGUCGCGGAAUUCCCGGUGUAGAGGUGAAAUUCGUAGAUAUCGGGAGGAACACCAGUGGCGAAGGCGGCGACCUGGGCCAAUAUUGACGCUGAGGUGCGAAAGCGUGGGGAGCAAACAGGAUUAGAUACCCCGGUAGU